ensembl:lncRNA DLEU1 deleted in lymphocytic leukemia 1
AUUCCAAGAACCAGGAGGUUGUUUGCUGUACUCUCCCUUGUACAGUUAGCUGUCUCUAGUGCCUGAAUGCACUAAUUGUCCUUUGGGUAUGGAUGAGGUAAUGAAGGAAAGGGAUGCUGGGAAGAGAGGCCACAUGAGAAGGCUGCAGCAAACUAAGUGUUGCUUGCUAAAGAAAAAUGAAAGCUGGAAUUUCAGCAGGGAAGAAAGUAUAUGCCCCACCGUGAUGAGUACAAACACACAGCAUCAGGGAAGCCACACAGAAUGAAGCUCUGAGAAGACUGUUAGCAUUUUCCCUCCACGCCCCAGGGGAAAAGGUUGGUUCUCUAACUUGAUGUAUACAAAUUUUCUGAGAAGAUUAUUUAAAAAGUAGUUUCCACCCAAUCCAAGGAUUCCGAUUCAGCAGGGCUGAGGUACUCCGAAGCAGGGUAUGGAUUCUGCUUUCAUCUUUCAAUGCAAGCCUGUUUCCACAGGGUUGAGAUCUGGCAUGGACAAUUUCAGCCUGAAACGAUUACUUUUGGAAAUUUGCAGAUAUUGUUAACUUCUUAGUCCUUUGAAGAAAAAUCAAAUUUUUUCUUAAGAAGAGACUUUUGAAACUCACAAUAUGAAUUCAAGAAGCAAAAAAGAAAAUCGAAUUUCACAAAUGGGAUACCAAUAGCUUGGAAAAAUCCAUUGCUUUUGCAGGGUUUGUUAUUGAGGGAACCCUGCCUUUCCCAGCAUCCUUAACAUUUCUUCCUCAAAUAAAAGAGGCACAUUGAUUUGAAUAGUUAAAGAUUUGUCUCAUUUCCUUGCCAAGGAGGAUUAUGUUUCCAGCUUUUUGUUAAUUCUGGGCAUUUCAACCACUGCUUCUGAUAACAUCCUGCUUUACUGUGCUAGGCAUUCCUUGGACCCAGGACUGGGGAGUGGGGUUUAAUCUGGACUGAAUUGGAGGAAAGGAACUGGCACCAGAGUGGAGGCUGGAAGGAUGGUGGAACUGACACUGGGACAGAACACAGAAAACAGAAUCUAAUGCUAUUGCUCUGGCUAUAUCAAAUAAAAGUGUCAAGAGUGAGCAUCCUUGCCUUGUGCUGAAUCACAAAGGAAUACCUUUCAGUUUUUCUCCAUUGAUUAUGAUAGCAGUGGGCUUUUCACAGUGGGCUUUACUGUGUUGAGGUACCCUAAUGACAAGUUCACCCCAGUGUUUUCUGAGGAGUCUACCUGGAAAUGAGAACCAUCUGUCCUUCCUAUAGUAGUUCUUCUCAGAAUGCCGACUCUAUGCUAAUGGUGUAGUUAUUAUUCAAUUUAUAAUUUGGCAUCCUACCAUAUAUAUAAUUUAACAUCUACUCUUUUAACCAGCUUAGGACUUGUCAACCCACUGCUUGUUCUGUGUUCCACACUGGUAUUCAAAGAUGUGAAAGCAAGAAGAAGGCUAGGAUGAGCAACACAACAGAAUAACUCAAGCAACAGAGCAAUUCUGAAACACAAGGAAAAAGGACUUACUCAUACUUCCCUCAUGGAUUAUCUGAGAAUUGAAUGAAAACAAUCAGUAAUGUAUUCAAUUCAUAACAAAUGUCACCAGUGAAAAGAACAGAGAACUGACAAAAGCUAAAACUACACAAAGUGAGAUUUGCUCAUGCAUUAAUGUAAACAGGAAAAAAUAAAAUCCUGGAGAAUUU